UACGUAGGGGGCAAGCGUUGUCCGGAUUUAUUGGGCGUAAAGAGCGUGUAGGCGGUCAGGUAGGUCCGUUGUGAAAACUCGAGGCUCAACCUCGAGACGCCGAUGGAAACCAUCUGACUAGAGUCCGGAAGAGGCGAGUGGAAUUCCUGGUGUAGCGGUGAAAAUGCGCAGAUAUCAGGAGGAACACCGAUGGCGAAGGCAGAUCUCUGGGCCGUAACUGACGUUGAGGAGCGAAAAGCAUGGGGAGCGAACAGG
rnacentral:rRNA from 1 species